rnacentral:rRNA from 1 species
GACGAACGCUGGCGGCGUGCCUAAUACAUGCAAGUUGAGCGCUGAAGGUUGGUACUUGUACCAACUGGAUGAGCAGCGAACGGGUGAGUAACGCGUGGGGAAUCUGCCUUUGAGCGGGGGACAACAUUUGGAAACGAAUGCUAAUACCGCAUAAAAACUUUAAACACAAGUUUUAAGUUUGAAAGAUGCAAUUGCAUCACUCAAAGAUGAUCCCGCGUUGUAUUAGCUAGUUGGUGAGGUAAAGGCUCACCAAGGCGAUGAUACAUAGCCGACCUGAGAGGGUGAUCGGCAACAUUGGGACUGAGACACGGCCCAAACUCCUACGGGAGGCAGCAGUAGGGAAUCUUCGGCAAUGGACGAAAGUCUGACUGAGCAACGCCGCGUGAGUGAAGAAGGUUUUCGGAUCGUAAAACUCUGUUGGUAGUGAAGAACGUUGGUGAGAGUGGAAAGCUCAUCAAGUGACGGUAACUACCCAGAAAGGGACGGCUAACUACGUG